ensembl:lncRNA
CUGCUUCUCAGUCAGUCUGUUUCCAGCCUGCGGUGUUUCAAUGGGCUCUUGCUUCUUGGGGACAGGACUUUGCAUUUGUCCUUACUGAAUUUCACAAGAAGAGUGAAAGAUCUACUUCAGUAAAAUAUUCAAGAAGUGUUUUGUGAAUGCACGAAAUGGAUCCCUGUGGAGAUGGAGAAUGAGAUGAAGAGAAAUCAGAAAGACUGAUUAUGCUGAAACCAGUGCUACAAAAGAGGAUGCUUGAAAGGACAAGUGUGUUUCUCAGCCACUUGUCCUUCAAACAACAUGAUUGUCCUUGUAUGUAUCUGCUUCAUCCAGUUUAUCAGCAUCUCUCUUGAUAAACAUGUAUUUCCACAGUCAUUCAGUGAGUCAACAUGUUUGGAAACAAAACGCAGCAUUCCUUCUUGUUCAAAUGAAACAAAGAUUCAGGAAUUACUUACUAUACCUGACUUUUGUGUCUCAUCCAAAUUGAAGAUGCUAAGCACUCCUGGCACUGAAAACAAACAAAAAUCUGCACAGUUAAGGCAGAGAGUGGGAAUUGAAACUGGAAAAUCUGGAUGGUGAGAAAAUUAACAGGAACAACAAAAUGUAUUAGAUCAUGAUAAAAUUAUUUGUCUCACAGCCAUAAACAAUGUAAAGGGGAUUUAAUAAUUGUUUUGUCAAGAAGACCUUGUUGUAGACAAAGACUCAUGCAAUAACUGUUGUAAAGGUACACCACAAAACAAGAAAGCAUUCUCUGACUGCAGCAGAGUUACAAAUGUACAUGUAAAUGCGUAUGCAAUCCGAGAAACUGAUUGCAACUAUCAAUAGGGAUUUCUGUGAACAUCUGAUCACACGUGCAGUGUAACAAAUACAUUGGGCACAGAUAGUAAGUAGAGAGUCCAAACUCUAACUCAUAGAAUGAAAAACUCAUCUUGUCACCAAAAGAUAGGUUUAAUUUUUUUCCUUAUUUCCUUGUUUCCUUUUUUUUUUUUUUUUUUUUUUUUUUUUUUUAGAAGUGAAGCCAAACAGUUUCAGGAGGAGCAGAACUAACAUAUCCAGAUUUCAUAUGGAUUUUUUUCAUAUGGAUCCCAUCCCUUAUGUUUUCUUCCUUGUCUCCACUGCUACCCUGUAUGUUUUGCUGAGUUAAAACAGCAGCACAUAUGUAUAGUUAGAAAAUAAUCAUAAUGUGCUGACUUACUGGCUGAGUGUUACCACUUGAUUACAUAAGAGCCCGAGUUAUAAGUUUUUAUUUAAUGAUCUACUCAGCCAAGUAUUAAUACAACUUGUAAGAAUUUAAUUUAAGGCAAUCCCUUGUGUCAGACUCAAUUGAAUAUGGUUAAUAUAUUUAAAAGUUGGAGGGGAGAACAGUGCUGCACCAGAAAGUCAAUCUGACUGAGGCAACAGAGCAUCUUACAAGCACCACAGGGAAGUGUACUCUUCCUCAUUAAAACUGCAGCAUAAGGUCUCUGAGGAAUGGGAUAUUCUGUUAUGUUUCAUUGCUGGGUAGCAGAGGAGUGGUCUGACAAAAUGGCGUCUUACAUGGAAGUUUGUAUAAAGCAAAGGUGUGUCACUGAAUUCCUUUGUGUGGAAAAAAUGGCACCUCCUGACAUUCAUCAACACUUGCUGAAGGUUUAUGGAGACCUAACAGUGGAUGUGAGCACAGUGAAGUGGUGUGUUUCAGCAGUGUUGACAGUGAUGCGAAAGAACAGCUCAUUCAGCUAUAGGCUAGAUCACUUAAGCUCUCUUGGGCUUCACGAUUGAAAUGUAUGUAUUCUUGUAAUAGAGAAUAGAUUGGAAAACCAGAGUAACCUCCAGUUUAUAAUGGUUUGUGCAUUCUUUGUAAUUGUGGAUUUGAAACAAAAAACUGUGCUCCCCUCAAUCCUCCCCAGCUAAAGAGCUUCUCUGUAAGAAAUAGUGUAUAUGCUCUAAGUCUGUUUUCAUAACAGAUUUGAAUCUCUUAUGUUUCUAUAAUAUUCAGUUUAUUCAAAUUAUCCUUCAUUUGAAUAAUGCUUUAUAAUUUGUUGUAGAUGUAACGCAAGCUGCCUAUGAAAAUUUCAAACUAACUUUGUUUUUCAGAGUCACUCUUUGACUUUUUUUGUUCUUUUUUUUUUAAAUUAUUUUUCUUAAUACAUCUUAUUCUGAUUUUCUUGGCUUAGUUUUUAUUUCUUUGUUUUCUGUUGUUACAAUUUAAGCAUUUUGUCCAGUCUUUGUGAAAGCAGUGUAAUCAAUUCAGUAUAGCAUUAAAAUAAUUCAGUGUAUAAUUAACUUCAGGUUUUUCAAUACUUUCUUUUGAUAUGAUGUACAAAGUUAUUUCCCUUAUGAAUUUCAAUAAGUUAAAGCUCUUCAGUGCUUAAUGAAACAUUAAAGAAAAAAUGGUGUAUCACACUAGCAGUAUUUUCUACCAUCUCCAUCUUUAAAACAAGUGGCAAAUCCAUGCAUGUAACUUCUGCAUUUCCUAACUAUGUUUAUGGAGUAUAAGGAAUAAAUACAAACACCAUCUAACUGCUUUAAUGUUUACUAGUUGAUGGUUGUUCCUUGAAUAAAUAUUGAGCAGUACUAUUCAUUCAAUAAUAAAUAUUCAAAAUAUUGAGCAGUAUUCUUUCUUAGAAUUUUAUUAAUUUCCUUUUAAAUACCCAUAUUCUUUUAAAUUUUAAUGCCCAGAAUCAUAGAACCAUAGAAUGUCCUAGACUGAAAGGGACCCAUAAGGAUCAUAGUCCAGCUCCUCCUGUUUCAUAUCAUUUUAAAAAGGCAAGAUAUUAAAAUUACAUUCACCACAUGCUCAGUGUGUUCUCCGGUUGUUUAUCUGUUUUCCUUCUUAAAUAUCCAGUUUCUGGAUUUAAAACAAAACAAAACCCAAAUCUACAGGUGUUAUAAACAAAACAAGAAGUAGAUUAAAACAUGAGUUAUUUGAAGUGUGUGAAUAACUUCAGUUGUGGUUUUUUGUGAUAUGAGAUAUGUAAAGGACCUUUCCUUACUUUCCAUAACCCCAUAAUGUUUCAAGGGUGCAGGAAUGUCAGAAAGUAGCAAAAAGGAGGAACGAAAUGCAGAACUCAGCUUACAAGAAGGCAGGUGGCUUAUAUUAAUUGCUUUGCUGGAAAGAUUUUGAAUGUCCUUCCUACAUAGCAUAAUUCUUGUAAAACCUUAUUUUUUGCAUCUUGUGUCUUCUUCCUGAGACGUUUUCCUCAGUGCUCUAGCACAACUCAAGUCAUGGAUGUUUUUCACAUUAAAAAAAAAAAUCUAUAAGUUAAAAAAGAAAAAAGAAAAAAAGAAAAAAAAGUAGAAUGUGAGAAAGUACACAGUAGAUGGAGAAUAUUUUCAAUUCAAGUUGAUAUGAACUCCAAAAAUUCCAAUGCAACUUCUGAAAUUCCCUGGAAAAACUGUUCUUUCAUGCUUCCCCUCCUUUUUUUUUUUUUUUUUUUUUUUAAUUUUAUUCUUGCAUUGUCUUGUAAAUCCAAGCUUCUUCUAUACAGCUACAUUUGAUAAGAGAGUAGGUCCAUUCUUUUGGCACAGGAGAAGAUUAAUUUUUUCAUUGCCUAAGGCGAGACUCCUGCCUUCAGUUUUAAUCCUUCAUAAUCCCCUCACCACCUCUGUGCAAAAGUGCACAGAAUAAUUUAGAUAUGUUUUCAGGCUCAGAAAGGCUGAAAGUAGAUUUGGGAUUUAAUUUAAUUUUUCCUCACAACUUUGUUCUGAAAGCACAAAUCAUAAUUAAUUGACUUGUGUGAGCAAACUUGGCACCAAACGGUUAGCAAGGACAAUCCUUUCUACAAAAGCUAGGAGUUAAAAAAGUGUAAACUACAAAAUAAUACAAGGCUCAUGAUUUUUGAACAUGGUUAACAAUGGUUGAAUUUUGUUUUACUGAACUCCACAAAAAUUGCACCAUUGACUGGUAGGAAAGUUAGGCUAAAAUAACAUCCAAGCAGCACUAGAUUCUUCAUGAGAUCUUGUUUUAGUUGUGGCAGGGAUAUCCUUGUUUUAGCCAAAGGUAAAAGAUAAGUAAGAUCUUGUACACACUAUCAACUUUUUAUUUAAGGUUUUGAUCUUAGAUUUCUUACUAGGUGUAUUUGUGAAAGACACUUAUGUGUCUAGAGUGAAAUGCAGCGUUUGGCUUGGUGGCUACCAUGGAAAGGUGCACCAUCGUGAACAAAGCGAGAGAGUAGUCAUGAAGUACCUUAAAGGAGGAAUGAGAUUGCAGAGGAUAUAACUAAAGAUCAAGUUAUCAUAUAUCAUAUAUAUCAUGCCUCUGGAAACCGAAGAUGAGAAGAUAACCUGGAGUGCACAGUCCAGAAGAAUUAUGGUAGGUUCACUCAUGAGUGAAUCAGUAGAGAAUACACCUAGAAGAUGACUUCUUAUACCAGUAUUUUGAAUGAACCCUAAGAAAAGGAGAUUAAAGCAGACAGCAUGCAAAGAAUAAGUAGUUAGUAAGAAUGAGAUUAAUUUUGAACUGUUUUCUGUCAAAAGUUGCACAUCUAAUUUAGUUUUCCUGGCUCCCUCAAUGUGCAGUGCAGCUCUCUGGAGUAAUUCAUCCUAUGUUUUUUAAACACCUCUUUUAAAAUGGAGUCUUUUGUCCUUUGGAAGCGCCUGUUCCUCUUUCUCCACAAAGAAGGAAACUUCAGUGGUGAUCAUAAAUGAUCUUCUUAGCCUGUGGGCAGCUGGAAAUAGGAAUUUCUCAUCCUAUAGAAGAUACAUGAACUGAAGGAGUUCCCCUGCCUCCACCCUCCCCCCCAGAAAAGAAAAGAAAAGAAAAGAAAAGAAAAGAAAAGAAAAGAAAAGAAAAGAAAAGAAAAGAAAGAAAAGAAAAAAAAAACAGAGAUGAGACUAUUUGUGAGAUUAGUGACUUUGCAAAAAAAUAAAAAAAUAAAAAAAUAAAAAAAAACCACUGAGUUUGACGUUAUCCAACACAUAUUUUCCUGCUCAUACAAGCAUCAGUUUUUUCUGGCAGAAGGUGAAGUUUAAAUUGUAACCCCCAAGAGAGAGCCAUCUGCAGCAUAACCAGCAGCAAACUGCUUCCACUGGUGCUUCAUUGGCAUCUGGAAGGAUUAGGCAUCCUUGCUUCAGUUAGCUAGAAUUCAAGAACUAAUCUUUAUGUAUUUUUAAGUAGCUAAGAUCUUGCUGGUGUUCCUGAGAGAUUUUGUCAGUGGAAACGACUAUUUACUGAUUUCAUGCAAAUCACCUGACUCUAAGAUGCUCUCUCAAAGCAAAUCCCUAGAGACCAUAGAAAUUGAAAGUAAUACACAUAAUUCUCAGUUUUUAUGCAAUUCAGUGUACUUUUUCCUAUGAAUUAUGAAAACGGAACUGUAACUAAAGCUUAGAUAAGUACAAAUAUGGUUAGUGAAACAAGUUUUUCUCGAUCUGCAUUUCCUCUAAUGUUGUUUAUUAUAUUUGUCUUUUAGAGAAAAUUUCAUCCUCUGGGCCUUCUUAAGUCUCUAGAGUUCUCUGUCCUGGAGCUUAAAACUGCAUUCAUCUUAGAGGGUUGUUUCCUCCCCCUCCCCCCCUUCAAAUGACAGUUGUUCUUCUCUAAUUUUAAAGUAGGGUGUUUUUUUUGUUUGUUUGUUUGUUUUUUUUAUGUUGUUAUCAUACUGAAUAACAGAAGAUUAGACUGUGCCACAGCUAAUUUCUGUUCAAUGUGCACAAUUGUAUUCAUGAGAAAACACACUGAGAAACUUCUGAAAAAAAAAAAGAGGGGUGGAAGGAAGUUUUUCUUGCUGAUGUUCUGGAAAGAAAUGUCCUGUUGUAGUGCUUCUUAUAUAUCUGACUGUCUUUAUGUGCAGAGGCAAGAACAGAGCUACUCUUACUUUUUAUCUGGGGCAUUUGUGAAGAAAGACAUGGUGGGGGGGAUUUCUUAACUUCAAGCCUUCAUUUUUAGUUGUCAACUGGGACAACUAAAUAUUAAUGCAUAAUAAAAUGAUGUUCUAAUUAUUAUGUUGAACUUUCACAUUUUUUGAAGAGUCUGUUCCAGCCCUUUCCCUUUUAAUCAGUACCCAACCUGUCACAGGAUACUGCUGUUUUCCCUCAAGGAUGACAUGCUUCAUUUUAUAAAGGAGGUGUUUUUAGAAAAUGUGUCUUUCAGACCUUAGCAGUCCUGACCUCCAGUUCUCAGAUCCCUUGUGUAUUCCUGUCUAAAUGUACUACAUUCCGUAUUAUUGGGAAUUUUUAUCCUGUGAGCAAUGCCUGUGUUAAAAUGCAUGAUCUCAUAAGAAAGUAAAUGACAAUUAAGUUUAGUUCAAGUCAAUUGCAAAUCUUAUCCUGAUGGGUUUGCAGAUGCUAAAGCAGAGGUCAUUCUAUGUUUGGGAACACGGACUAGGAAUUAAAUGCUAGCAUUCAUAAAAAUGCUUGAAAGUGGUUUCAUAUUAAAUACUUAUCAGUUCAUAUGCUAUACUCUAUCAGAAUAAGUGUUGUAUAAAAAACAGUCACAGACAUUAAAUAUUUGCUAUUUAAUGCAGAG